UGGAGGUAUGGUACCUGUGAGCAUUGUUGGGAGACUCAAGAAGACACUAUUGCUGAGUUUGGAAAUGUCUCUGAACUCGUCUUUCACGGCUGUUUGGAAGACUUCUGGCUCCCAGGCUUCUGGCAGCGGGGCCAGGAGGGGAUCAUGGCCAGACAUUUGAGUGAGUGAAUGUUGGAAAAUACAGUGUGACUAAUUGAGAGCCACAGACUACACAUGGAUCCUGGUGGCUAAUUCACUCACUCCUCCCUGCCAGCCCCAAAGCAUCCUCUGUGUUCCAGGAGAAG
rnacentral:lncRNA from 1 species